UACGAAGGGGGCUAGCGUUGCUCGGAAUCACUGGGCGUAAAGCGCACGUAGGCGGACUCUUAAGUCAGAGGUGAAAUCCUGGAGCUCAACUCCAGAACUGCCUUUGAUACUGAAAGUCUUGAGUAUGGGAGAGGUGAGUGGAACUGCGAGUGUAGAGGUGAAAUUUCGUAGAUAUUCGCAAGAACACCAGUGGCGAAGGCGGCUCACUGGACCGGAACUGACGCUGAGGCGCGAAAGCGUGGGGGAGCAAACAGG
rnacentral:rRNA from 1 species